rnacentral:rRNA from 1 species
GAUGGACGCUGGCGGCGUGCCUAAUACAUGCAAGUCGAGCGAACAGACGAGGAGCUUGCUCCUCUGACGUUAGCGGCGGACGGGUGAGUAACACGUGGAUAACCUACCUAUAAGACUGGGAUAACUUCGGGAAACCGGAGCUAAUACCGGAUAAUAUAUUGAACCGCAUGGUUCAUUAGUGAAAGACGGUUUUGCUGUCACUUAUAGAUGGAUCCGCGCCGCAUUAGCUAGUUGGUAAGGUAACGGCUUACCAAGGCAACGAUGCGUAGCCGACCUGAGAGGGUGAUCGGCCACACUGGAACUGAGACACGGUCCAGACUCCUACGGGAGGCAGCAGUAGGGAAUCUUCCGCAAUGGGCGAAAGCUUGACGGAGCAACGCCGCGUGAGUGAUGAAGGUCUUCGGAUCGUAAAACUCUGUUAUUAGGGAAGAACAAAUGUGUAAGUAACUAUGCACGUCUUGACGGUACCUAAUCAGAAAGCCACGGCUAACUACGUG